UACGUAGGGGGCUAGCGUUGUCCGGAAUCAUUGGGCGUAAAGAGCGUGUAGGCGGCCCGGUAAGUCCGCUGUGAAAGUCGGGGGGCUCAACCCUCGAAUGCCGGUGGAUACUGUCGGGCUAGAGUGCGGAAGAGGCGAGUGGAAUUCCUGGUGUAGCGGUGAAAUGCGCAGAUAGUCAGGAAGAACACCCGUGGCGAAGGCGGCUCUCUGGGACGGUACUGGACGCUGAGACGCGAAAGCGUGGGGAGCAAACAGG
rnacentral:rRNA from 1 species